rnacentral:rRNA from 1 species
GACGAACGCUGGCGGCGUGCCUAAUACAUGCAAGUCGAACGAGAGCGCCCGGUGCUUGCACUGGUCAAUCUAGUGGCGAACGGGUGAGUAACACGUGGGUAACCUGCUCAUCAGAGGGGAAUAACAUCCGGAAACGGAUGCUAAAACCGCAUAGGUCUUCGAGCCGCAUGGCUUGAAGAGGAAAAGAGGCGCAAGCUUCUGCUGAUGGAUGGACCCGCGGUGCAUUAGCUAGUUGGUGGGGUAACGGCUCACCAAGGCCGUGAUGCAUAGCCGACCUGAGAGGGUGAUCGGCCACAUUGGGACUGAGACACGGCCCAAACUCCUACGGGAGGCAGCAGUAGGGAAUCUUCCGCAAUGGACGCAAGUCUGACGGAGCAACGCCGCGUGAGUGAAGAAGGUUUUCGGAUCGUAAAACUCUGUUGUUAGAGAAGAACAAGUGCUAGAGUAACUGUUAGCGCCUUGACGGUAUCUAACCAGAAAGCCACGGCUAACUACGUG